rnacentral:rRNA from 1 species
AUCGUAACAAGGUUUCCGUAGGAGGUUCUUUCCCCAUGCGAAGCUUUGGACGUGCGCGACUCUAAAUACUGCCGCUAAGGUCCACCACCUCUAGAGGGCCACGUCACACAAGUGCUGGGACCGUUAGCAAUAACCGUACCAGCAGCCAAGGUUCUUCCUGGGUUCACAGAUUACAUGGUGACGGUUGAGUAAAAGAGGGUAGCGAAGAAUUUUCGCGCGCAGCUCAUAAUCCUCUUAUUAUUCAAUUAAGAUAUAACCGGUCCGCUGUGCCGAAACAGCUGGAAAAAACGUUCCGUAGGUGAACCUGCGGAAGGAUCAUUA